AGGACCGGGAUGGACCAACCUCUGGUGCACCAGUUGUCACGCCAGUGGCACAGCUGGGUAGCUAUGUUGGGACUGGAUAAACGCUGAAAGCAUCUAAGCGUGAAGCCAACCUCAAGAUGAGAUUUCCCAUAGCGUAAGCUAGUAAGACUCCUGGAAGAACACCAGGUUGAUAGGUCAGAGAUGUAAGCAUGGUAACAUGUUAAGUUGACUGAUACUAAUAAGUCGAGGGCUUGAUCAAAUAA
rnacentral:rRNA from 1 species